UUUUCUUGAAGAAGAAUGCGUUCUUGUUACAUUCUUGUCAACGCUGCUAAUGUGAGAUUUAAGGACCACAGUACAGCCAUGGAUAGUGAACCAAAUCCUGGAACCUCUUCUGCGUCGACAACCACCAACAGCAGCACCACCACCACCAUCACCACUUCCUCCUCUCGAAUGCAGCAGCCACAGAUCUCUGUCUACAGUGGUGCAGACAGGCACGCUGUGCAGGUAAUUCAACAGGCAUUGCAUCGCCCCCCCAGCUCAGCUGCUCAGUACCUUCAGCAGAUGUAUGCAGCUCAACAGCAGCACUUAAUGCUGCACACUGCAGCUCUUCAGCAGCAGCAUUUAAGCAGCUCCCAGCUUCAAAGCCUUGCUGCUGUUCAGGCAAGUUUGUCCAGUGGAAGACCAUCCACAUCCCCCACAGGAAGUGUCACGCAACAGUCAAGUAUGUCCCAGACAUCUAUCAACCUCUCCACUUCUCCUACACCUGCACAGUUAAUAAGCCGUUCCCAGGCUUCCAGUUCUACCAGCGGCAGUAUUACCCAACAGACUAUGUUACUAGGGAGUACCUCCCCUACCCUAACGGCAAGCCAAGCUCAAAUGUAUCUCCGAGCUCAAAUGCUGAUUUUCACACCCGCUACCACUGUGGCUGCUGUACAGUCUGACAUUCCUGUUGUCUCGUCGUCAUCGUCAUCUUCCUGUCAGUCUGCAGCUACUCAGGUUCAGAAUUUAACAUUACGCAGCCAGAAGUUGGGUGUAUUAUCUAGCUCACAGAAUGGUCCGCCAAAAAGCACUAGUCAAACUCAGUCGUUGACAAUUUGUCAUAACAAAACAACAGUGACCAGUUCUAAAAUCAGCCAACGAGAUCCUUCUCCAGAAAGUAAUAAGAAAGGAGAAAGUCCAGGUCUGGAAUCACGAAGCACAGCUGUCACCCGGACAUCAAGUAUUCACCAGUUAAUAGCACCAGCUUCAUAUCCUCCAAUUCAGCCUCAUCCUCUAAUAAAACAUCAGCAGAUUCCUCUUCAUUCACCACCUCCCAAGGUUUCCCAUCAUCAGCUGAUAUUGCAGCAGCAGCAACAGCAAAUUCAGCCAAUCACACUUCAAAAUCCAACUCAAGACCCACCCCCGUCCCAGCACUGUAUACCACUCCAAAACCAUGGCCUUCCUCCAGCUCCCACUAAUGCCCAGUCACAGCAUUGCUCACCCAUUCAGAGUCAUCCCCCUCCUUUAACAAUGUCUCCCAACCAGUCACAGUCAGCACAGCAAUCUGUAGUGGUGUCUCCUCCACCGCCUCAUUCACCAAGUCAGUCUCCUACUAUAAUUAUUCAUCCGCAAGCACUUAUUCAGCCACACCCUCUUGUGUCAUCAGCUCUCCAGUCAGGGCCAAACUUGCAGCAGUCCACUGCUAAUCAGGUGCAACCUACAGCACAGCUGAAUCUUCCGUCCCAUCUUCCGCUUCCAGCUUCCCCUGUUGUACACAUUGGCCCAGUUCAGCAGUCCACUUUGGUGUCCCCAGGCCAGCAGAUUGUGUCUCCAGCAUCACACCAGCAAUAUUCAACCCUGCAGUCCUCUCCAAUCCCAAUUGCAACCCCUCCGCAGAUGUCGACAUCUCCUCCAGCUCAGAUUCCACCACUGCCCUUGCAGUCUAUGCAGUCUUUACAAGUGCAGCCUGAAAUUCUAUCCCAGGGCCAGGUUUUGGUGCAGAAUGCUUUGGUGUCAGAAGAGGAGCUUCCAGCUGCAGAAGCUUUGGUCCAGUUGCCAUUUCAGACUCUUCCUCCUCCACAGACUGUUGCGGUAAACCUACAAGUGCAACCACCAGCACCUGUUGAUCCACCAGUGGGAAUGCAUUUGAACCAGUGUCAUCUGCACAAAGUUUUUUCUCUUAAGGUUUAUCAAGUAGAAGAUGUGUGUGAGGAAGAAAUGCCGGAAGAGUCAGAUGAAUGUGUCCGGAUGGACAGAACUCCCCCACCACCCACAUUGUCUCCAGCUGCUAUAACUGUGGGGAGAGGAGAAGAUUUGACUUCUGAACAUCCUUUGUUAGAGCAAGUGGAAUUACCUGCUGUGGCAUCAGUCAGUGCUUCAGUCAUUAAAUCUCCAUCAGACCCUUCACAUGUUUCUGUUCCUCCGCCUCCACUCUUACUUCCAGCUGCUACCACAAGGAGCAAUAGUACGUCUAUGCCCAGUAGCAUUCCCAGUAUAGAAAACAAACCUCCACAGGCUAUCGUUAAACCACAGAUUUUGACCCAUGUUAUUGAAGGCUUUGUGAUUCAGGAGGGAUUGGAGCCAUUUCCUGUGAGUCGUUCAUCUUUGCUAAUAGAACAGCCUGUGAAAAAAAGGCCUCUCCUGGAUACUCAGGUGAUAAAUUCUGUGUGUGUUCAGCCAGAGCUACAGAAUAAUACAAAACAUGCAGAUAAUUCGUCUGACACGGAGAUGGAAGACAUGAUUGCUGAAGAGACUUUAGAAGAAAUGGACAGUGAGUUGCUCAAGUGUGAAUUCUGUGGGAAGAUGGGAUAUGCUAAUGAGUUUCUGCGGUCAAAACGAUUCUGCACUAUGUCAUGUGCCAAAAGGUACAAUGUUAGCUGUUCUAAAAAAUUUGCACUUAGUCGUUGGAAUCGUAAGCCUGAUAAUCAAAGUCUUGGUCAUCGUGGCCGUCGUCCAAGUGGCCCUGAUGGGGCAGCAAGAGAACAUCUCCUUAGGCAGCUUCCAAUUACUUAUCCAUCUGCAGAAGAAGACUUGGCUUCUCAUGAAGAUCCUGUGCCAUCUGCUAUGACAACACGUCUGCGCAGGCAAAGUGAGCGGGAAAGAGAACGUGAGCUUCGGGAUGUGAGAAUUAGGAAGAUGCCUGAGAACAAUGACUUGCUACCAGUUGCACAAACAGAGCCAUCUAUAUGGACAGUGGAUGAUGUCUGGGCCUUCAUCCAUUCUUUGCCUGGCUGCCAAGAUAUCGCAGAUGAGUUCAGAGCACAGGAGAUUGACGGACAGGCCCUUCUCUUGCUAAAGGAAGACCAUCUUAUGAGCGCCAUGAAUAUCAAGCUGGGCCCGGCCCUAAAGAUCUGUGCGCGCAUCAACUCUCUGAAGGAGUCGUAACAGUAGCCUGACACUUUGAGAUCACAGCAGGUUUACUCUUCUUAAACUCAUAAGGAAUUUGAUUGAGGAGAAGGAGUGACAAGCAGAAAGGGGACAUGGGAAGUCCUUCCUUUUGCUACCGAGGUUGGUAUUUUCUGACUUCUUUACACUAAUGCACUCUUUUCUCACUGAGGGAAAAAACCUUACAAAUUUGAGAUUUUGUUUUAAGCCGUGUGUUCUGAAGGAGGUAAACAAACUGAGAGAGCUGGUUUGUGAAGGUUAUUUUUUACGUGACAUGGCUUUUCAUCAAGCCUUGUGCAGGCAUGUGUCGAACGCAGCUCUGCAGCUUUGAUAGAAUCAGUAUAGCAUGAGACAGUGCUGUUCCCAGCCUGCCGCUGUUUAAGUGGCAUAUAACUGGUUCCAUGAUGGUACUUUUAAUUUGCUGUGGCAUCUGCUAAACAGACUUUUUUUGGUCCCAGUUUGAGCUGUCACCUAAGAGUAGAGAAGAGGGGAUGGGAAGAAAGACAUGUUAGUGAAGAAGCUUGAGAAUGGGAGAGGCAGACACGAGACCUGCCACUCUGUUAGCUUAUCCACUUCAACACUGAACAAAUUUCUGCACUUUGGAAGUUAGUAUUCAUGUUUUACCUAGUUUUAAGUAGAAAUGAUUUUUUUUAGUUAGCUCAGUGUUUAUUUUCGUUUCCUGGCGUGUUGAAACGCUUAGAACUGUAUGAAAUAAGUAUUGUUUUGCCCAUGCUUUUGAAUAUUUUUGACAUAGCUAAUCUUCAUAUAUCUAGUGUGGAAUUAUAGUCAGACAUUUAUUCAAAUACCAGUCUUAGUUUAAAAUCUGUCAUAGUGCCCCAUAGCACUGGAUUGUUCCCAUUAUUUGCAUUGGCAGGGUUUGGGUGCCAUCAUGGCACAAGUAUGAUAGGGAGGCAAUACAUGGAUUGUAUUGACUUAUGUUGUGUUUACAUGUGUGUAAACAGUUUUGCAAAGAAAUGUGAAUGAUGCCAUCCUCACAGCCAUAUCAAAUGGAAAAAAUCCCUGGCUGGCACUGUUAAAAUGUUUUAAAGACAUAUUUUUAACCAGAACAGCCUGGUUAUAUUUUGUGGUUUGAAGAUCCUCACCCUUAGUGAAUGGCAGAAACACGUGCUGCCAACAUGCAACUGGCAUUGAGCUUUACUGACAGCACAGAAGGACCUCACUCACCCCUCACCAUCCCUAAAGCCUCCUCUAGCCCCAAGGAAACUCUGCAUGAAAACUUUCUUUAGACUUUUGGCUGAAAAUCCUUAGAGAGGAUUUUGUAGUAGGGUUAAUUUUAGGGAGGUAACUGGGACAGGACUUUGUAAUACCUAAUAGUCUUGUUUCAGUGAAACCUUUGCGCAGUAGAAACUGGCCCAUCUCUGCACAGUGUCUGCUCAGUCUGUUUCCUCUGCACCAUAUAUGUAACUAGCUGGGCCCUGGGGAAGAUAUUCUAGGGGGAAGGAUAGGGAAGUAGAAGAGGAGACAAAUAGGAGGGAAAGCAUUCCAGACCCAAGAGGAUAGUACAGUUAACUGAUUGAGGUCAUGAAGUAUAGAUAUGACCUUCAGUAGUUCAAAAUAAUAAAUUGUAAUGGUUGGAUCCCAUUAUCUUAUUGGAUCCCAUAAAUCUUAUGUCGAGAUUUACCUGUAAGCAGACUCAUUCUUUCACUCUUUUUAUCAAGUGAUCCUGCCCUUAGGAGCAUAUUAAUAGUUCAAGUGAUACAUAAGUUAGUGAUUUUUGACUUCUCAAAAAGGUGACAAAUAUAUUUGGAGAAUAUUUGUUAAAAACUCAAAGGUUAAUUGUUAUGAUUGAGUUAUCAGAAUUAAAGGGGAGAGAGAGUCCAUUUUCAGAUACCACAGUUGAAUCAAGCAUAUGGACUGUUAUAAAGAAAGGUGUUUUUAAGAUAGGAUUUUGUUAGGUUGUGUCUCAGUCUAAACAUUGGAUGACUAAGAGCUACAGGUUUCUCUUUAUUAGUGUGGAUUUCAGUAAAGACAAGCCUACCUCUAUUUCUUUGAUGCACAGUAGUGUGGAUCAUGAAAUGAAUUGUUUAAUCCACACUCAUCAAUAUUGGUAUUUUAUGAAUCUAUUUAGAAGCAUUUGAUUUCAUCUUAAAAAUUGUGAUUCAAGUUAGAUAAGCACAAAUAACAGUAUUAGGAAAAGUAAAUAUGUAAUCUUACUAAAAUUUAAUUUCAACCUAUUAUAAGCUGUACAUCUUAAAAUUCUUUGGGAAGAUAUUCCUCUUUUGUUAGAAGUUCAUAAAAUGCAUCACUAUAAUUUCCUUCAUAGGAAAUUUCCCUCAUAGCAGCAAUACAAGCCAUUUCUUCAAUAAAAAAUGUUGAACAUUGUAUUAUCUUCUUUGAAAAAAGUUUCCUAAAUUUUUAAGAAUUUUAAAGUUUUACAUAUUUUUUAGAGCUUAUUUAAUCUAUUUUAAAAUAAUACUAUGAGAAAGCUUUUUUUUGAAAUUGUAAAGCACUAAUACAAAUAUAAUUAUUGCCGUCAUAUUCCAGAGCAAACUGUUUGGCUGCUUCUGCUCUUUCGCUUCAGUACACAUGGGUGAGAGGGAGCGGCACCCCCCCUCUGCUGGCUGAGGCCCGCUUCCCACACAGAGGCUCCGGGCUGCCCUCGCACAGGCGCACGUACCUCUGAAGCGCCAUGCUGAGGAACCUUUUAGGAAAUGUUUCCCACGGAUGUUGUAUUUUUCCCUUUGUAUAACUUGUAAACAUUUAAUUUUAUUUAAAGAUGACAAUUUUACUCUCAGAUCAGAUGUUGGAGAAGAGGUACAUUAGAAAAAUAUUUUUUCCUACUGCCUCUGAAAAGUAUAGUUGCUCUUGGUGAUAUUGGUGGCAUCAGUAUGAAUCCAUAGGAAGAAAACCUGUGCAAAGGUUUUAAAAUGUAUUGUUUAAAAGGAAAGAAUUUUAAUGUGGGAAAAAAUCAAGAUAAAUUUAAAACACUUAUGCUAACGUGGCAUACAUAGUUUUAAAUAUAAGAGUAAUGUAGUAAGUCCUUUUAGACCCUAACCUGUAUACACUGCCUCCUGUAAUCUUAGGAAUUGAUAGUAGCCAUCAUUUAUUUGCUUAAAAGUUAUACUUUAGGGAAUAUGAUCAGUGUUAAAUUCAUGUUUUGUGGAGCUUUGAUUGAUGGAGGUGAAGAAGUUGGUGUUUAUGAGAGAGUGGUGGGUCUGGUAGUGAAAUAAACGUCAACCUACUUUAGAAAGAAGAAACUUUUUUAGUCUUGUCUCAAGCAAACCAGAGUGACCACUGCUUAAAAUCUUUGUUUAGAAUGCCAUGUUAAAAGUCAUAAUCCUUUUUGUUUUAGGUAAUACUAAAUAGUCUACUUCAAUAGUUAAUAAUAGAUGGAAUAAUCUUUAAAUUAACAUGAUGAAUAAGAUAGAACGCUGGCCAGGAGAUGGGUUUUACUCCAGUUGGUGAUUAGCUGUGUGACGCUUCAGGCAGUUACUUAGCUCUUAACCACUUUCCUCUUCUGAGUUUACAGCAUGGACCCUAUACUACUCAAAAUUUGAAUUUUGGUACAGAUCAUCUUUAAAGUGCCUCCUUGCUCUAAAAUGAUGAUUCUAGGCCACAUAAUGGGGUAUUUUUAAAGUUGCUCCUAUUUAAUUAAUUCUCUUUCCUUUUAAUGGUUCAUUUAAUACUUAAGAGCUUUUGCUGAAAGAUAAUUAUUUAUUAAGCAUCCAUUUCUUAGGGCACCUACAGUCUUUGUCCUCCUAAAGAUUAAGGUAGAAAAUUCAUACAGAUGAGCAAAUGAGGCCAUUUUUCUAAAUGCUUCUUGCUAGUUAACCUCUGUACAUAUGAACACAUAUGACCAUUAUCAUUCACUGACAUUUAUCCAUUCGUGUAGCAAACCAUUUGAACAUUGACUGUGUGUACUGUGUGGUGCACAUGACUUAAGGAGCCCAGUAAUAAGUAAACAAAAUCUGGUGGCUUAAACAAACAUGGACAUAAUUAUUAUUACUUAAUGUACUGAACAUAAAGUUGGAACUGAGAGGGAAUUUUUUAUGCCUUGGGCAAAGGAUGAGGCAGAUCACAUGGAAGGUGUUUAAGUGAGUCACAUCACAAUUCCUACAACACAUUUCACAGUUGAACACCAGUCAACCAUAUAUCUGAUAGGUUACACAAUUAAGGGUACCUAACAUUAAGGAUUUACAUUUUGAAGCUGUUGUGACAGCCCAUAUUUCUCAGAGUUAUUUUGACACUUGAAUCUAUUCCAGAGGUUGCUAUGCACGGUGUGUGACAGAAUAGUACAAAGAAGCUGGUGCUGACUGACUUUACAUUUUUAACUACAAAAACUUUACACCCAGUAUUGACAGUGAAAUAACUUUGUAAAACUGAAAAAUCUCAAAGGAGAUCGCUGAACAGGUUUGGUUUUUAUUUUGGUUUUUUUUUGUUUUUAAAGCAAGAAAAAUCACACAAAAUAAAUUUUAUUGUUAUUACAAAUAUCUGCUUUUUAGAAAGCACACAUAUAUUACAUAGUAAAAGGGUUUCCUUUAAAACGCAGAACUGGUAAACAUAAAACAGUUCCCUGCUGGAAUUGACAAGUAUUUGAGGAGCAGACAUCGAUGGGAUAGAUUAUUAAUUGAGUAAAGGUUCCUUGCCUACUGGAGGAUUCUGUAAAUUACGUUGUAAUUCCUAUUGACACAGCUUUUACAUAGUAAUAUCACUUGAUACUAAUGUUCUCCAUAAAGAUAGAAAAUGAAAAUAUCUAAUAUUAUAAAGAUCUCUUCUCAUCAUAGUCACAGCUUUUUAAAGCAGGAAAAUGUCCAGAUACAUGUUAGAUUAGUGUGUGUAACAAACUGAUUGAAAAUUAGGAAUGUUGAUAUUCAAAUAACCAGAUAGUCUGGGUUUAAAAACUUUUUUCAUAGUACUGGGUAAAAUUUACUUUUACAACGUUUUAAUUCAACUAAUUUUUCAAAUAUUUUAUGCUGUUAAAAUAUCUAUUGCAUAAAUACUUUUUGUAUUUGUAUUCUUAUAUUUUAAAAAGUCAACGGAGUGUGCAAAGAUGGUAUAAUUUUGGAUGUCUAAUUUCCAAGAUGUUUAACCAGAGUCCCAAUCACCUCAUUCAAAAGCAUGGUCUUUGUUUUUUCCGUAGGAAAAAAGUCAAAGUAAGUUCCAAAAACUAUUCUCAGAGUAAGGAGUGAGCUUGUGAUGAAGCCUGGAGUUGUAGACAGCAGUGUGCAGGGUGGGUACUGACACUGGGGCAGGCAUUUAUUUCAAGCCUCUUUGUUGAAUUAGUGCUUUUUGUCUUCUUGCUUGUUAAAAAAAAUUUGUUGAUUUAACAAAGGCAAAUUGUGAUAAACUUUUUUUAAUUUUAAUUUUUGAUGCUUCAAGCACAUGUUAACUGAUUUUCAAAAAUUCCUCCUUUUGGUUCCUCCUAUUGUCCUAAAAUAGGACUUUCAUAUUAUUAAAACCUCAAAAGCUGAUCCUCCCAGGAUGAACAAAGCAUCACCAAGGGGAAAGAAAACAUUUUUUAUCUUUACAGAAAACAAAUGUUAAGAUUAUAUAUAGAUGUAUUCUUUACAUUGGCUAUUGUAUUCGAGUCCUCCUUACAGGAAAUGAAAUAGUUUUAGCACUCGUAGCAUUAGCGUUCCUAGAUUGGUGUCUGUAGCUGCAGUUUUAAAAUGUAUAACCUGAAAAUGAAGUUAAUUUUGCAUUAUAAGAGCACACCAUGAUCUAUGUAAAAAGAUUGUCCAUUUGGUGUAUUUUUUUAAAAAAGAAAAAGCACUUUCAUAUUAACAAGUAGCAUGUGUAUGAAUUUUAGAUUUUCAUAUUUGUUGUGUCUGUAUUCAGUGAAGUAAAAUUGAGCAUUCAGAUGUUUGUUGAUGGCAACAUUAACUGUUAAAUUAAAGCACCUUAUACUCUGCUGCUUAAACUUGCUUGUAAUUGCACCUUUGUUACCUGCACAUUUUCACAUAGAAUAUUGUUGUAACAUUGCUUCAUGUGGGUCUGGAUGAAGGUUAGUGGGCCUACAGGAUCAUUUAUUUAUAUUGUUUAUAUUACAAUAAUAUAUUGUAGACCAGUUGUAAGUUCAUUUCUUUACAAAUAAAAGCCUCUUCCAUUUG